GUGGCCUAGUGGUUAGAGCGUCCUCCUUGGAUGCGGGAGGUAGUUGGUUCGAAUCCCGAUAGAGUCA